CAGGGUGUGGCCGAGAUAGUCAAGCGACUCCCUUAACCGAGUAAACAUCCAUGCAAGUUGGAUCACCCUGA
rnacentral:tRNA from 1 species